UGAACAUUCCAGGCUCUGUGAACUAAGGUAAGUAGGCCUCUCCAUCCUGAUAGCGAGGGAGGCCUCAUCGGGUUUGACCCCGGCAUGCUUUGACACCUUUUUCACUGUUGGAAGAUGCUCUGACUUUAAAGUAGAAAGCAGACUUGACUGAAGCUGAUUGACACAGGUCAAGGGGACUUCAAGGAAGAAAGCCAGCCUUAGACUGACAUCAGAGAACCAAACUCCGGUGUCUAAGCUCAAGAGGUUAGAAUCCUGAGAACUGUUUGGAAUAAGGAAUCCAAAUAUUGUCUUCCAGCUUCACCUUGUCACGACAGUCCUCGCCAGGGACAGCUGAGCAUCUACAUCUCCAUUUAUGCCGUGUGCACGCAGUACCAACAGAGGUCAGAGGAGGGUGUCGGAUCCCCUGGAACUGGAGUCACAGAUUCUUCCUUGCGUGGAUGAAACAGUCCCAACGAACACUUUAAAAAGACAAAUGUUCCCGACAGCACUGGUUGAAUUCAAAACUCGGCAGAUCCAUGUUCUUAUCCUUAGACAAGAGAGGGGCCAUAACAAGAUGGAAUGACGGAACAGACGUGAGAGAUGAUGUCCACCCAGAGGGUCUGCACUUCUCGGAGCCAGAAGGUGGAGAAGAGUAGGGAUGGAGGAAGUUCGAAGUUUUAGGAGUCUGCUCUUGGGUCCCUAGGCAUGAGGACAAGCUUUUCCUGUACUCAAUGCUCAUCUCUCAGUUGUGCCCACAUUGGUACACAUUACUUGCUUUCAACUGCUGCUGCUGCUGUUUCCUAAUUCAAUAAAGAUAUGGCUGGCUCAGCAGAGAGCUGUCAUCCA
rnacentral:lncRNA from 1 species